UACGGGGUGUGCGAGCGUUGUCCGGAAUCACUGGGCGUAAAGGGCGCGUAGGUGGUUUGAUAAGGGUGUGGUGAAAGUCCGGGGCUCAACCCCGGAUCUGCCGUGCCGACUGUCAGACUGGAGGGCUCGAGAGGCAGGCGGAAUUCCGGGUGUAGCGGUGGAAUGCGUAGAGAUCCGGAAGAAGACCGGUGGCGAAGGCGGCCUGCUGGCGAGUACCUGACACUGAGGCGCGACAGCGUGGGGAGCAAACAGG
rnacentral:rRNA from 1 species